CUACGCACAACUAUAAAUUUGGCUCAUGGAAUCAUGUUAAAACUUGUCAAAUAAUUUAGCAUUUGUGGGCCGUUUUUUAUGAAACGUAACUGCAGUAUAGGGUAAAACGCUACAAUACGCCCCAGUUGACAAUAAGCCCCACUGCGCCUACACACACACAAAUACAGAUAUCAGACAAGCAGUGACACGAACGGUAGCGCGACAGUCGCCCGAAAACCUGGCUACUGGUUAGACGUGAUAAUUGCGAUUUAUUAGGAAAAAAAUCUAAAUCUUUUGUAAAGUGCUUCGGAACAUAUUGCGAUGCCGCGUAAUUAUCAAAGAAAAAGUAUGCAUAAAGUACGCAGCGAGGAUAUAGUAGUCAAUGAGUGUACAAAAUAC